AUCACACGCGGCGUGAUUGCGGACGAAUAGGAAGGAGUCAAGUUACUGCUUUGUGCCAGAUAGCCCCUAAGUAUAAAACUUUUUGUUUGUAUCUCGUAAAAAAGCUCAUCAACAGGAUCUAGCACUGUAGCCAUAGACAGUAAGAUCGAACAAGCCAUGGACCUUGUGAAGAGUCACUUGAUGUUUGCUGUGAGAGAAGAAGUAGAUGUACUGAAAGAGAAGAUUGGAGAACUUCUGGAAAAGAUUUCCCAACUUGAAUAUGAAAAUGGAAUAUUAAAAGCUAAUGCUUCUCAAGAAACUCUAAGUAAACUCUCCCAGCCUGGUUCUAAUGUUACCUCUAAGUCUCACCAUGCUUUAACAUCCAGUGUAGGAGUUACACCUCACCAACAGGCUUCUCUACCAGUUCACCCACAACAUCAGAGUUCUUCCACAUAACUUGUACUUAAACAUGGACAGACAGUUCUUGUUUGUAAAUAUCAAUGAAAGGUAUUUAAUGUAAAUGUACAGGAUAUGUUGUUGAGACACUUAUUUGUUAGGAAACAGCUCCGUAAGGAGGCAGAAUAUGGUGAACAGAUACAGUCAGAUGGAAAAGACAAAAAAAAAAUUGUUCUGCAGAAACCCAGUCAUUGGGAUUACUUAUAGCUGGCUAUUUAAAUAUGUUAUGAAAACAUGUUGUUUCUUACUAUCACAUCCCAGAAUAUCUAGUGUUUUCAAUUUUUUGGAAGCAGGAAAAGUCUUUUGUUUCAAAUUUCCAAAUCAGUCAAGUUUUUUUUUUUCUAAAAGACACACUAAUUUCUAAUUAGUACUCCUUUCUAAAUUAUUUUAUAAAGUAUAACUGAUCAUCCAGUUAAUCUUAUAAUUUCACAACUACGUGUACCUGGACUUAGUCAAGUUUUAGUUGAACUAGGUUUUCUCAUUAAAAUGUUAUGAAAUUUGAUAAUUUAGAGAAACAGGUAUUCUGAAAUACAUUCUGAAGUCAUAAAUGAUGUUUUAAAAAUAAAAUAGAGGAGGGAACCUUGAUUUCACUAAACUUUCAUAUAGAUAUUUAAUUAUUGUAGGUGUAACUUCACAAAAAAUGUGGGUAAAAUCCAACCUGAGAGAAAACUUUUAUAAAGUUAAACAUAUUUUAGUGAAAUAAAAAAUCAAUUAAAAAUACCAGUAUUUUAAACUUUCCUCUUUCUGUUGGCAAGCCGAUCUCUCAGUCUCAUAUAUUCAUAUUUUAUCUUUUCGUCAAAUCCUUGUUGUAUUCCAUUUAACCCUUCAUCUCUAUUAUUCAAAAUGUAUCUUAGCAGUUCAGUUAUUCAACAUCUGGAACGAUUUAAAGAUAGGCCAAUUUAGUAUAUAUAAUCAGCAAAAAAGUUUUAAAAGUUGGUGCCUAUCAUAAACCAAGUUUUUUUUGUGGUUAUGAGCUCUUAUUGAUACUUUCCUACAGCAUAUAGAUUAAAUCUUGUAAAAGUUCUUGGGAACAUAUGCUGACAGGAUUAUAACUGAUUAUUCCAUAUAAUGUGAAGUAAAUAAUUUGUAUUUGAAUUUAACAGCUGUUUUAUUGAUAGUAAUAUCAGUAAAAUGUUGAACAAGCUGUUUACCCCAAAAUCUUAGUUUGAGGUGCUUAAUAAACCAACAGUAUUAUAUUUGUACAAAAAUAAUCAUAAUAUGUUAAAAAGAAGUUUCAGACCUCUGCAGAACUUGUUCACAUAUAUAAGUCACAUUUAUGUUCAAAUCUUUUAUAUCUGUCCACAUAUAUUAUUCACAUUUGUGUUCAAAUCCUUUAUAUCUGUCCACAUAUAUUAUUCACACUUGUGUUCAAAUCUUUUAUAUCUGUCCACAUAUAUUAUUCACAUUUGUGUUCAAAUCCUUUAUAUCUGUCCACAUAUAUUAUUCACACUUGUGUUCAAAUCUUUUAUAUCUGUCCACAUAUAUUAUUCAUAUUUGUGUUCAAAUCCUUUAUAUCUGUCCACAUAUAUUAGUCACAUUUGUGUUCAAAUCCUACAUAAGAAUAAGAAAUUUAUUCAUUUUAAGGAUAUCAUUCUUAAGAAUAAAUUGUAAUUUGUCAUCUAUAAAUUAACAUGUCCUUGCUCUGCCAAAAGUAUUUUAUGGUUUUACCACUACAUGGUUGUCUUCUAGUAUAAAACACUUGUAGUAAAACUGAGAAAUUAUCAAACAUUGUAUGGCAUGUUAGGACAAAAUGUGAUGUAACUUUCAAAACUGGCAUGUUUGUAUGGCUGAUCUGAAGAUGAAGAGCAAUUAAGAAAUUGUGACAAUUUGGUGAUUGGAAACUGAAGCUGAUGAUUAGUCACCAGAACAUGGUGGUACUGCUUUUCGUCAAACUGUGGCCCUUUUCCCAAUUUUGAAUCUCUAAAGCUCUUAAGUUUCAUCAAAUCUGCAGCUGCCAAAGAGUUUUCUGUUUCAUUGCUUGAACUUUUUAUUCCACAAAUUUAUCUACUGUUUAAUUCUAAACUCUUAAAACAGUUUUGAUACAUAGCUUUAUAGUUUUUAAUUUUUUGAUAUGUAUCUUUUCACUUGGUAAUUUCUUUGUCUCCCUUGAUAUAUGUCAUGUUUUUUACUCCUGACUCUUCUCUUCUAUAAGUACAUAUUCUCAUAAAACAGAUUAAGAAUUCUUCCUGCCAGUUUGCUAAUAUUCAGUCUUUUCUCUAACUGACAGCUUCAAAAGAUAAUAUUUUGUCCUUUUUGUAAUUAACUCAUUAGACCAAUAUGGGGUACUCUGCAUUGAUAUUGCUUCAGUUUUAUAAAAGAAAUGUUUUUUUAGAACCAAAUGGUCAUGUGUAUUUUUAGAAGUUGCAAUUUUGACUUUUAAAAUUUUAGCCUUUGCUGCUAUAUAUUUAGCACUUUGAGGUAAUUUAUGUGGUCCCUUAUAAAGUAAUGUCCUAAAAUACUUGUAAGCUUUUGCUGUUUGGUAGUGUAGCAACAGAUGUACUUUUGAAUGGCAAACAGAUGAAGCACAAGUUAAAAGAUGUGCUAGUGUUAGUUCAGAUUUGUCUUGAAUUUUGGGGUUGGUGAAAAUCCGAAUAGCAUUAGCAAGAUACAUUGAUUUUUUCAAAAAUUUCUUUUAUAUUUUUGAUAAUGACAAUAAUCAUGCAUUUGUAAUAUUUUGAAUUACUCAGGAUAAAAAUGGGAAAUCACUUAUAGUGAAAACAGAGAGAGAAAGUGGCAAUCUAGCAAGCUCCACUGAGAAGUAAGUCUGAAGGGCUACCAUGUUAUUUAUGGUAGUUCAGUGAUCUAACCAAUCAUGCAGGAUAUGUAAACACUUGAUAGAUACAUACAAAAAACAUGAAGUAUUUAUAUUGGAACAUAUUCUGUUAAAUUGAUUAUAGAUUUAGAACAUAUUGACUUCUUUGUUAAUGUACUAUACUUUUAUAUUUUUCUGAAGGAAAAUUAUAUGUUUGCUAUGAGCAUAAUGUGAAAUGUAAAAAUAUUUCUUGAUUUAAAAUGAAGAGUUGUUACUCAUAUUCCUUAUUAUUUAUGCAGCAACUGAAAUGGAUUAAGAGUGUAUGUUUAUUUAUACUUAAUCCAUGUUUGUGUUCUGUAGGACACUGGUAUGUUAGGUUUUAUUGUUCUUGUUAUCAGUUUUAUUUCUUUUUAUUUUAAAGAAAAAGUUCUGGUAUUAUUUAUUUGUA
rnacentral:misc_RNA from 1 species